rfam:Claviceps purpurea 20.1, WGS project CAGA01000000 data, contig: scaffold00003
UCUUUCGUAGUAUAGUGGUCAGUAUGCAAGCUUGUCACGCUUGAGACCCGGGUUCAAUUCCCGGCGAGAGAG